ACAAGCCAUUUAUUUGAAAUGCCAACUAUAUGUAGGAUAAAGUCAGUGCUACAUGCUUAUCAGUAACAGUAGAAAAAUAGAACCAGUGGAAACCUUUGCCCUGAGCCCGUGCGCU